CGACUACUCCGCGAAAGUGGAAGCGUUGCGCGCGCAGCUCGGCGCGUUCUUCGACGAGCACAUCUAUCCGAACGAGCGCGCGUUCUACGAAGAGAUCGCGCGCAACCGGCGCGCGGGCGACGCAUGGCGGCCGGUCGAGCUGAUCGAGACGCUGAAGGCGAAGGCGCGCGCCGCGGGCUUGUGGAACCUGUUCCUGCCGGACUCGGCGCGCGGCGCCGGCCUCACGAAUCUCGAAUACGCACCGCUUUGCGAAAUCAUGGGCCGCGUGCCCUGGGCGCCCGAGGUCUUCAACUGCAACGCGCCCGACACCGGCAACAUGGAAACGCUCGAGCGCUACGGCACCGACGCGCACAAGGCGGCGUGGCUCGAACCGCUGCUCGACGGCGUGAUCCGCUCGGCAUUCCUGAUGACGGAGCCCGAAGUCGCGUCGUCGGACGCGACGAACAUCCGCACCCGCAUCGAGCGCGACGGCGAGCACUACGUGAUCAACGGCCACAAGUGGUGGUCCUCGGGCGCGGGCGAUCCGCGCUGCAAGCUCUACAUCGUGAUGGGCAAGACGGACCCCGACGCGCCCCGCCACGCGCAGCAGUCAAUGAUGCUCGUGCCGUCGGACGCGCACGGCGUCACCGUGCAUCGGCCGCUGAACGUGUUCGGCUACGACGACGCGCCGCACGGCCACAUGGAGAUCACGCUCGAGAACGUGCGCGUGCCCGCGUCGAACCUGCUGCUCGGCGAGGGGCGCGGCUUCGAGAUCGCGCAGGGCCGGCUCGGGCCGGGCCGCAUCCAUCAUUGCAUGCGGCUCGUCGGGCUCGCGGAGCGCGCGCUCGAGCUGAUGUGCCGCCGCGCGUCGGAGCGCAUCGCGUUCGGCAAACCGGUCGCCGCGCAGACGGUCACGCAGGAGCGCAUCGCCGAGGCGCGCUGCAUGAUCGAACAGGCGCGGCUGCUCACGCUGAAGACCGCGUACAUGAUGGAUACCGUCGGCAACAAGGGCGCGCGCGGCGAGAUCGCAAUGAUCAAGGUGGUGGCGCCGAACAUGGCGUGCCAGGUGAUCGACUGGGCGAUCCAGGCGCACGGCGGCGGCGGCGUCAGCGACGAUUUCCCGCUCGCCUACGCGUACGCGAGCGCGCGGACGCUGCGCUUCGCGGACGGACCGGACGAGGUCCAUCGCAACGCGAUCGCGAAACUCGAACUCGCGCGUCACGCGCCGCGAUCGGCCUGACGCGCGCUUCGCGCCGGGAACGCCGGCGAAGGGCCGACGGGGCGCGCGCGGCCCGCGGCAAUCGCGCGCGAUACAGCAACGCUUCGCGUCUACGCCGGCAGCCGCGCGAGCACGCGGCGCGAAUCGCGCUCGCCGA
rnacentral:rRNA from 1 species